GCCCACAACCCAAAUUUCUUGCCAAAUCCGAACUCUCCUCCAAUCAAACCUGAAAACCCAGAAAAACCUCAGCCCACCAUCCCUAUCUCGCUUCGACAAAUACAAAAGAACCUCAUCCCCCAUCUCUGUGAAACACAUAACCCAUCUCAAUUACUUUUUCAAACCAUAGAUCCAAACCAGCCAAACCAUCUCAAUCCCUCUCAUGCUUCGUGUUGGUGUUGCAAUUGAGAAUAUUUCAUCGGUCUCAAUCCCUAUUGUUGGGUAUGAUAUUUAUCUCUAAAAUCAGAGAAGGAGCUGAACCAACUUUCUGGGGGUUUGGAUUCGAAUUGCAGGAGUUUAUGGGUUUUCGUGGAUUUGAGAAGGAGAUGAUGGGAGAGUUGGGAAACGAAAGGCUACUCUCCAGUUGAUAAGUGUAGCAAAGGAAAGGCCAAGCAGAUGAAGAAAGCCAAGAAACACCCAAACAAGCAAAAGUUCUAUAUCUUUUGUCUUUUUCAAAUUCUGGUGCCACUCUAAGAAAGACCCCACAGUUUUGUGGGUUGAUGACAAUACAUCAACAACUGCAAAGCUUGAUACUGGCAUGUUAAUUGCUGUGAAGACGAAUAACUGAGAAGGUUUACAGGGUCACAAGGAAUGGGAUCUAAAGGAGGUUCAGUGAAAUUAACUAUUCAUAGUGGACCUGAAAUCAAGCACUUGGAUUUAAUGGAAGUUUAGUUCUUCAUUUAUCCCUGCAAAAUAUUGUUAUUUAAUUGUCUAGACUUAUGCUUUGUUCUAAUAAGUUAACUUGGAGGAACAAAUGAUGCAGUGAAGUCUUUGACCAAGAAAAUGGUCUUCACUUUUUAGACAUGGAACUUGGGAGUACUGGGACCAGUUGUUCUACAAGGAUCAGAUCAAGGAAACAGAGAUCUAUCAGGG